GAGACACCCUUAUGGGGCAGGACUUGCUUCAGUGGGGCUUUGGUGCUCACUGAGUCUGCCCCGUGAGUGUGUCUCU
rfam:Myotis lucifugus cont2.13082, whole genome shotgun sequence.